rnacentral:rRNA from 1 species
UACGAAGGGGGCUAGCGUUGCUCGGAAUGACUGGGCGUAAAGGGCGCGUAGGCGGCUCAUACAGUCAGAUGUGAAAUUCCUGGGCUUAACCUGGGAGCUGCAUUUGAUACGUGUGGGCUUGAGUGGGGAAGAGGGUCGUGGAAUUCCCAGUGUAGAGGUGAAAUUCGUAGAUAUUGGGAAGAACACCGGUGGCGAAGGCGGCGACCUGGUCCUUGACUGACGCUGAGGCGCGAAAGCGUGGGGAGCAAACAGG